GACCUCGAUAGAGACGGC
rnacentral:rRNA from 1 species